rnacentral:rRNA from 1 species
UACGGAGGGUGCAAGCGUUAUCCGGAUUCACUGGGCUUAAAGGGUGCGUAGGCGGUUAGGUAAGUCCGUGGUGAAAUCCUGCAGCUUAACUGCAGAACUGCCAUGGAUACUAUUUAUCUUGAAUGUCGUAGAGGUUAGCAGAAUAUGUCAUGUAGCGGUGAAAUGCUUAGAUAUGACAUAGAAUACCCAUUGCGAAGGCAGCUAACUACGCGAUAAUUGACGCUGAUGCACGAAAGCGUGGGGAGCGAACAGG